GACGAACGCUGGCGGCGUGCCUAAUACAUGCAAGUCGAGCGGACUUUCAAGAAGCUUGAUUUUUGAAAGUUAGCGGCGGACGGGUGAAUAACACGUGGGCAACCUGCCUGUAAGACGGGGAUAACUCCGGGAAACCGGGGCUAAUACCGGAUAAUAUCUUUCUUCGCAUGAAGGAAGGUUGAAAGGCGGCGCAAGCUGCCGCUUGCAGAUGGGCCCGCGGGGCAUUAGCUAGGUGGUGAGGUAACGGCUCACCAAGGCGACGAUGCGUAGCCGACCUGGGAGGGUGAUCGGCCACACUGGGACUGCGACACGGCCCAGACUCCUACGGGAGGCAGCAGUAGGGAAUCUUCCGCAAUGGACGAGAGUCUGACGGAGCAACGCCGCGUGAGCGAAGGAGGUCUUCGGAUCGUAAAGCUCUGUUGCCAGGGAAGAACAAGUACCGUUCGAAUAGGGCGGUACCUUGACGGUACCUGACCAGAAGGCCACGGCUAACUACGUGCCAGCAGCCGCAGUAA
rnacentral:rRNA from 1 species